rnacentral:rRNA from 1 species
GAUUAACGCUGGCGGCGUGCAUAACACAUGCAAGUCGAACGAAGUGGCGGACGGGUGAGUAACGCGUGAGUAACAUGCCUUAGAGAUGGGGAUAGCCUCUGGAAACGGAGAAUAAUACCCAAUGCUCUAAGAUGGCUUUGCGUCUGAUUAGCUAUUUGGUUAGAUAAUGGCUCACCAAGGCAACGAUAAGUAGCCGGCUUGAUGGAGUGGACGGCCACAUUGGGACUGAGACACGGCCCAGACUCUACGGGAGGCAGUCGUGGGGAAGUUUGCACAAUGGGGGAAACCCUGAUGCAGCGACGCCUCGUGAUUUAGAAGGCCUUCGGGUUGUAAAAAUCUUUUGUAUAGGAAUCAGUACUAUACGAAUACGGACCGGCUAAUUACGUGCCAGCAGCCGCGGUAAUAC